UACGGGGGGAGCAAGCGUUGUUCGGAUUUACUGGGCGUAAAGGGCGCGUAGGCGGCCACCGCAAGUCACUUGUGAAAGCCCCGGGCUCAACCUGGGAAUGGCAAUGGAUACUGGCGAGCUAGAGUGUGUCAGAGGAUGGUGGAAUUCCCGGUGUAGCGGUGAAAUGCGUAGAGAUCGGGAGGAACAUCAGUGGCGAAGGCGGCCAUCUGGGACAACACUGACGCUGAGGCACGAAAGCGUGGGGAGCAAACAGG
rnacentral:rRNA from 1 species